UACAGAGGUCCCAAGCGUUGUUCGGAUUCACUGGGCGUAAAGGGCGCGUAGGCGGGAUGGCAAGUCGGUCGUGAAAUCCUUCGGCUCAACCGAAGAACGUCGGCCGAUACUGCCGUUCUUGAGGGAUGCAGAGGAGAUUGGAAUUCCCGGUGUAGCGGUGAAAUGUGUAGAGAUCGGGAGGAACACCGGUGGCGAAGGCGGGUCUCUGGGCAUCUCCUGACGCUGAGGCGCGAAAGCGUGGGGAGCAAACAGG
rnacentral:rRNA from 1 species